GUGGGCAAUCUGCCCUUCACUCUGGGACAAGCCCUGGAAACGGGGUCUAAUACCGGAUAACACUCUGUCCCGCAUGGGACGGGGUUGAAAGCUCCGGCGGUGAAGGAUGAGCCCGCGGCCUAUCAGCUUGUUGGUGGGGUGAUGGCCUACCAAGGCGACGACGGGUAGCCGGCCUGAGAGGGCGACCGGCCACACUGGGACUGAGACACGGCCCAGACUCCUACGGGAGGCAGCAGUGGGGAAUAUUGCACAAUGGGCGAAAGCCUGAUGCAGCGACGCCGCGUGAGGGAUGACGGCCUUCGGGUUGUAAACCUCUUUCAGCAGGGAAGAAGCGAAAGUGACGGUACCUGCAGAAGAAGCGCCGGCUAACUACGUGCCAGCAGCCGCGGUAAUACGUAGGGCGCAAGCGUUGUCCGGAAUUAUUGGGCGUAAAGAGCUCGUAGGCGGCUUGUUGCGUCGGUUGUGAAAGCCCGGGGCUUAACCCCGGGUCUGCAGUCGAUACGGGCAGGCUAGAGUGUGGUAGGGGAGAUCGGAAUUCCUGGUGUAGCGGUGAAAUGCGCAGAUAUCAGGAGGAACACCGGUGGCGAAGGCGGAUCUCUGGGCCAUUACUGACGCUGAGGAGCGAAAGCGUGGGGAGCGAACAGGAUUAGAUACCCUGGUAGUCCACGCCGUAAACGUUGGGAACUAGGUGUUGGCGACAUUCCACGUCGUCGGUGCCGCAGCUAACGCAUUAAGUUCCCCGCCUGGGGAGUACGGCCGCA
rnacentral:rRNA from 3 species